GCUCCCGAGAUCGACGCCCCGCCUCCUUCCCUCCUGGUCGCUGACGCCGCCUCACUGGCUCCCCGCCACCGCCACCUCCCAUUCGCCGUCCGUAGCGUGCUCUGCCUCCGGCCUGCCUUUUCCCCACCCCAACUCUUCCUGUUCAGUUCUUCCUCACAACCGCCGCUGCCUCUUCGUCUCCAUCACCAGCGCUACGGCGCUACCUCCUCACCUCCCCACCGACGCCCCAUCACCAUCUCUGUCGCUUCCGUACACCUAACCUGCGUUGGCUCGCCGCAUCCGCCUGUAGUCCCUAUGCUGCCCUGAAAAGAGAAUAACGAACAGCAUACGCAUAGCUACAGUGGGGAGGGGAUAGAUCGGGAUGGAGGGCCAUGCCUGUUGGAUCCAUCACCGGAGCUGUCUCCAAUCUCCAUCGAGGGAUACCCAUUUCGAGAGCCCAAGGCUAUAGUUGCUCAGGUGAACCAUGCUACUGAGGCUGAAGGAAUUAUCAGCACGGAAUGAUUGGUGGUGAGAACGUGUGCUUGGGUAGGCGGCAGAUGAGGGAGAAAUAAGUGAUUGACUACUUGAUCAGAAAUACUGAUUAAUGCAAACCAUGGUUAAGUUCUUUACUGUCUUAGCGGUGCCGGGUGCAGUGCUUAUCGAUUCAAAUGAAAUAUGAUGGUCUUGAGAUGCCUUUGCGCAGACAGAACUACUUUAGCUUCUGGCCUCUCUAGAAAAGGAUGAAAUGCAUCCAACAUUUGGCAGAGUUCAAAAUGUUGCGUGAUCACCUUAUACCAAUCUUUGUAAUACUGUACUGAUUAAUAUUUGUACAAUUUGAGAAGUAGAUCUUCCUAUCAAUUUUUACAUGGGUCUAAUCUUUGUAAUAGUGAUGUCGGUUGGUAUGAUGUUGUUUAUAUGCUAUCAAUUCUACAGUAUAUUUGCAA